UGUCUAUGAGGGAACUGGGCAGUAGCAACCAUAUAAAAAUCUAGUGAAUUGAAACUGUUAAAAAAAACGAUCACAGUAAUCCACCUAAAACGCAGCAGCCAGCAAGGACUCACAAAUCGGUUAAUUAAUUGUUGUAUGGUUGAUUUGUUGUUCAUUUGAUAAUUGACAGUAAAUUAAAUCAACAGCAAUUUCAAAAUUGAUUAAUCAUUUCAACCAUGGCCAAAACAGGCAAAGAUAAGUAUAAUUCACCAAUACAAAAUUCAACUACAUAAAAACUUCAUAAUGCACGUGCCAGACAACAAUCACAACAAUCAGAGAAAAAACCACGUUCAUCUACAAGCAAUUAUUUUAUACCACCACACAGAGGUUGAAGACAGCAGGUAAACAGUGCAAACAGGUGGUUAGCUAACACCACGAGGCAGCUAGCAGCAUUAGCGGCCUCAUGUAGCCACCAACUAAAACACACACAGAACACAGCUAUGACAUUGACUUAAGUUAUUCACGUUACCUUGGUCAGGUGAAGCGGUGAUAUCCAGCAUCUCAGCUGAGAAAGUUCUCCGAGAAGAGCCGCAUUUUAUUCCUUUAAAAACGCACUUCUGUAUGUUUGUAAGUAGCUACGUUUGUUAUUGAAAACAGCAGCUGUGUUUUUGCAGUAGUCGUGACAUUACGGUAGAGCUAGCACACAAUCUAGGAGUUAACAAAAACUAAAGGAUGGCAGCAACUUGCAAAGUAAAAGGGAAGUCACGCACCAAAGCGUGAACAGACCGCCUUACUGCGAUGGUGCGUUUCAUGUACGAUGCAACAAAUCCAAUGCACUGGAAGGAUGUAUUGACAGCUGGCUUUGGAUGCAAGCAGCAGCAGCAUGACUGAAGCUGAGAUGCAUCUGAAUCAAACAGACAGGGACAGCCUCUAUCAACCUAUGUGUCGAAAUAAAAGCAUCUCACACAUGAAAGGCAGGAUCUCCAUGGUUUCCCCUGGAGCUGGGCCUCGUUGCCAUGGGAGUGGAAGGCGCUAUUGGAAGAGGAAAAACACAGAAAGACAGGCAGGAAGACAGUGUCAUCUUUCCAUGUACCUAAUCAUGCACAGUUUAUUUUUGCCUUGAGUUUAAUUAUACUUUUCAUUGUGUUAUUAUGGCAGUUUUUCUUUAAAAUAAAUAGUAAAAGCUCUA